rnacentral:rRNA from 1 species
AUUGAACGCUGGCGGCAGGCCUAACACAUGCAAGUCGAGCGGAUGAAGGGAGCUUGCUCCUGGAUUCAGCGGCGGACGGGUGAGUAAUGCCUAGGAAUCUGCCUGGUCGUGGGGGAUAACGUCCGGACACGGGCGCUAAUACCGCAUACGUCCUGAGGGAGAAAGUGGGGGAUCUUCGGACCUCACGCUAUCAGAUGAGCCUAGGUCGUAUUAGCUAGUUGGUGGGGUAAAGGCCUACCAAGGCGACGAUCCGUAACUGGUCUGAGAGGAUGAUCAGUCACACUGGAACUGAGACACGGUCCAGACUCCUACGGGAGGCAGCAGUGGGGAAUAUUGGACAAUGGGCGAAAGCCUGAUGCAGCCAUGCCGCGUGUGUGAAGAAGGUCUUCGGAUUGUAAAGCACUUUAAGUUGGGAGGAAGGGCAGUAAGUGAAUACCUUGCUGUUUUGACGUUACCAACAGAAUAAGCACCGGCUAACUUCGUG